UGAGUGCCGGUGCUUUUUUGCUUUCUUCGUUUCAUCUUUAAGCGCGUUCAAAGAGAACUACGUAUGGAGUCGAGGAGGUCAUCUCAUGUUUGCUUAGUCUUAGCCUCGUAGUGCAGUGGUUGGGGCGAGGAGUACUACAUACAUCAUCACAAAUAUGGCGAAGGAGAAGCGGCCGGACAAGGAGGGCUCUCCCAGGAGCUAUCUCGCUGCCAUUGCCGGUGGCCGCGGUGACAUUGCCAUCUUUUCUCGUACGCAAGUACUUCAGUCCUGUGCCAAUUCACAUGGUCGCACGUCCCAACUCGUACCAUGCAUGACAGGCUUUUGGUACCUUGUGGAAUUGACUAUGGCUGGUGAUCUUGGCGCAUUCCGGGGGGGGGGGGGGGGGGGAGGAGGCAACAAUCCUGAUCUCUGAUCUUGGAUUAAUGGAUUUAUAUGGGCAGGAUCUGAGUCCACUGUACUUCGAUUUCGAUCCCCCGCCUAAUAUGCCCAAGUGCCCACCCAUGCAUUGAGUCAUUUGUACGUUACCUGUCUAGACGUCGUCUCCUCUUGUCUUGUGUUCGUUCACAUACACCUAUUUGCGUCCAAGCUUGCUUGCAAAAAUUAGUCCGCAGAAUUCAUCUCAACCUUCCGCUUGAUCUAAUAGUUUAAUUACAGCCGUACGCGCGUUCGUGAAGUGUUUUUGUUGGUAUUCGCACUGUUAGUAUGUUCUUUAGUCAACACGAAAUCCGGUUCGUGCCCGAAACGCCCGGCUCACCCAUCCGGACCAACAAGAUAACGGCGAACACCGGACGCUCAUAGCACCCGCCUAUAAAGCUGGCACGCACACGGUGGACCCCAAUCGACACGCUGGCUCGGCGAUAUCUGCGGAACAACCGACAUCGCACCCGUCGCGCCGCGCCCUCGUAUUCGUCGCCCAGUGGAGCCCCGUAGCGGUCGCCGGCGUCUGCUGCUCGCACCCCCCCCCCCCCCGGCGAGAAGCUGUCGGAGCGCGGCUCCCUCCUCUUCCUCGGUCUCUCUGAUUGCGCGAGUUUAUCCUAAUGUGGGUUGAAGGCGGCGAUGGUUCUGUCCAUGUGACGUUCGCGAGCGUUAUGUUCCUCUUCGGUUCCAAUUUGACGCGCAAGACCAGGGAGGAGCGUUAUGCUCCUUUGUUCUUCUUUUGGCUCUUCAGGUUGCCAUUUUAGAUAAAUAUUGGAUCUUUGUCGAUACUUUGCGGAGAUGAAGAAUACGUUUGUGAGUCGAACAACUUGUGAUGUGAUCGAUGAAGAGCAACAUCGAGGAUUUGGCCUCA